UACGGAGGAUGCGAGCGUUAUCCGGAUUUAUUGGGUUUAAAGGGUGCGUAGGCGGACUGUCAAGUCAGCGGUAAAAUUGAGAGGCUCAACCUCUUCCCGCCGUUGAAACUGGUGGUCUUGAGUGGAUGAGAAGUACGCGGAAUGCGUGGUGUAGCUGUGAAAUGCAUAGAUAUCACGCAGAACUCCGAUUGCGAAGGCAGCGUACCGGCAUCCAACUGACGCUGAGGCACGAAAGCGUGGGGAUCAAGCAGG
rnacentral:rRNA from 1 species